rnacentral:rRNA from 2 species
CUGAGGCUGCUUACACAUGCAGUCGAACGAACUCUUCGGAGUUAGUGGCAGACGGGUGAGUAACGCGUGGGAACCUACCUUUAGGUACGGAACAACAGUUGGAAACGACUGCUAAUACCGUAUGUGCCCUAUGGGGGAAAGAUUUAUCGCCUAAGGAUGGGCCCGCGUUGGAUUAGCUAGUUGGUGGGGUAAAGGCCUACCAAGGCGACGGACCAUAGCUGGUCUGAGAGGAUGAUCAGCCACACUGGGACUGAGACACGGCCCAGACUCCUACGGGAGGCAGCAGUGGGGAAUAUUGGACAAUGGGCGCAAGCCUGAUCCAGCCAUGCCGCGUGAGUGAUGAAGGCCCUAGGGUUGUAAAGCUCUUUCAGCGAGGAGGAUAAUGACGUUACUCGCAGAAGAAGCCCCGGCUAACUUCGUGCCAGCAGCCGCGGUAAUACGAAGGGGGCUAGCGUUGUUCGGAAUCACUGGGCGUAAAGCGCACGUAGGCGGACUUUUAAGUCAGGGGUGAAAUCCCGGGGCUCAACCCCGGAACUGCCUUUGAUACUGGAAGUCUUGAGUCCGAGAGAGGUGAGUGGAACUCCGAGUGUAGAGGUGAAA